GGCCCAAUGGUCUAGACGUAUGAUACACGCUUCGGGUCGUUCCCGUAAUUCGAUUACGCAACUGUGUGUGGUCCCGGGUUCAAUUCCCGGUUGGGCCC